AUGUCAAAAACUAAAUCUUGUUUCUAAGUACUAGUGCCGCAGGAGUGUAUUACCAAUCUCCUGCUGCUUAAGUGCUUAUCAAUGAGGAUUUAGUGAUACC
rnacentral:pre_miRNA from 1 species